rnacentral:tRNA from 1 species
CAAAAUAUAUUUAAAUUAUAAUAUGAACUUUGGGAGUUCAAGUUAAGUUCAGUAGCUUUUUUUUGA